AUCACCAGGAGAGGACCAGGAGAGGGCGAGUUCUAGUCCUGCCUUUGGUACGAAAGCUUCCCAUUAUUCCCAUAGCAUUAUAAGCGCUAUGUGCUUAGAGCUCAAAGCAAUGUUAGAGACCCCACACACCCACUUUACAGUCUGUUUCUGUUACUCCCCUCUGGGAGGGGGUUUCGAGGAAUUUCUAGCAGGAUUACCAGAUUCUGUAACAGCUUUGUUCCUUAUACCAUCCGUCUGGCAUUUAUCAACUUACAUAUAACAAAGAAAUAUGAUGUUCCGAUUGCAGCCACAGCCACAGAAAAAUGAAACAGAAGCCGCUAACAAGAAGGAACAGAGACGGGGGACGCAAAUUGUUACCCAGGACAGAGAGAAAGAGACUGGCUCCAGCUGGCUUUGUGCCUAAGGAGAGACUAGGUCUCUUGGUCUCCUGAUUUCCAGCCUGGUGCCUUAACCACUAGACCAAAGUCAUAGACAGCCAUGAUCAAUGUUUCUCACUUCCAUUCCACUAAUGGAGUCAAAGGAUAAGUGUUGGAAUUCAUUGUUGGAAUGUAUAGCUCGACUGUCUGGAACCCAUACCACAUUUCUGACAUCAAUACAAUUGAACAUGUCCAGAAAUAUUUUACAAGAAGAGUUCUCCACUCCUCUGAAUACAACAAAAUACCUUAUGCCACCAGACUUGAAAUCCUGGGUUUAGAAAAUUUAGAACUCCGCCGCCUUCGACAUGACCUGAGUUUAACUCAUAGGAUCAUCAAUUACAAUGUCCUUCCUGUCGAAGACUACUUCAGCUUCAAUUGCAACAAUACACGAGCACACAAUAGAUUUAAGCUUAAUGUUAACCGCUUCAAUCUUGAUUGCAGAAAAUAUGACUUCAGUAACAGAGUUGUUAAUACUUGGAAUAUACUACCUGACUCUGUGGUCUCUUCCCAAAAUCCCCAAAGCUUCAACCAAAAACUGUCUACUAUUGACCUCACCCCAUUCCUAAGAGGGGCGUGCAUAAGAGCACAAGCAUGCCUAUCGUUCCGGUCCUAUUGUUUCCUUUCAUUAUAUCCAAUUAAUAUAGUUAUUACAU